rnacentral:tRNA from 12 species
AGGGCUAUAGCUCAGUUGGUAGAGCACCUCAAGGUCUACGGUUCGAGUCCGUAUAGCCCUA